rnacentral:rRNA from 1 species
UGGGGAAUAUUGGACAAUGGGCGAAAGCCUGAUCCAGCCAUGCCGCGUGUGUGAAGAAGGUCUUCGGAUUGUAAAAGCACUUUUAAAGUUGGGAGGAAGGGCAGUAAGCUAAUACCUUGCUGUUUUUGACGUUACCGACAGAAUAAGCUCCGGCUAACUUCGUGCCAGCAGCCGCGGUAAUACGAAGGGUGCAAGCGUUAAUCGGAAUUACUGGGCGUAAAAGCGCGCGUAGGUGGUUUGAUAAGUUGGAUGUGAAAGCCCCGGGCUCAACCUGGGAAUUGCAUCCAAAACUGUCUGACUAGAGUAUGGCAGAGGGUGGUGGAAUUUCCUGUGUAGCGGUGAAAUGCGUAGAUAUAGGAAGGAAUACCAGUGGCGAAGGCGACCACCUGGGCUAAAUACUGACACUGAGGUGCGAAAGCGUGGGGAGCAAAACAGGAUUAGAUACCCUGGUAGUCCACGCCGUAAACGAUGUCGACUAGCCGUUGGGAUCCUUGAGAUCUUAGUGGCGCAGCUAAACGCAUUAAGUCGACCG